rnacentral:rRNA from 1 species
GAUGAACGCUGGCGGCGUGCCUAAUACAUGCCAGUCGAGCGAACAGACGAGGAGCUUGCUCCUCUGACGUUAGCGGCGGACGGGUGAGUAACACGUGGAUAACCUACCUAUAAGACUGGGAUAACUUCGGGAAACCGGAGCUAAUACCGGAUAAUAUAUUGAACCGCAUGGUUCAAUAGUGAAAGACGGUUUUGCUGUCACUUAUAGAUGGAUCCGCGCCGCAUUAGCUAGUUGGUAAGGUAACGGCUUACCAAGGCAACGAUGCGUAGCCGACCUGAGAGGGUGAUCGGCCACACUGGAACUGAGACACGGUCCAGACUCCUACGGGAGGCAGCAGUAGGGAAUCUUCCGCAAUGGGCGAAAGCCUGACGGAGCAACGCCGCGUGAGUGAUGAAGGUCUUCGGAUCGUAAAACUCUGUUAUUAGGGGAGAACAAAUGUGUAAGUAACUAUGCACGUCUUGACGGUACCUAAUCAGAAAGCCACGGCUAACUACGUG